UUUUUUCUGUCACAACAGACAAAAUGGACAGGAUUUAUAAACCACAUCUGCAUCGUUAAUGUUAUCACAAACACCCGUGCUUAACGGACAGGGCGAGGACCACGCAGAGGACGCACUCACCAAUUUCAUCUUCUCAAACACAACGGGCUCCUUGGACUCACUCUGAGCAUCUGGAUGUCGAUGACUUUAUCCAUGUACUUCUUCUUAUCAUACUUGUCCCUGAUGAAGGUCUCUGUAGACUGGUCCGUCUCGGGACGCUGGAAGCACUCGGGUUGACGGAUUUGACCUUGGAGAUGUGAACGCCCAGGUUUCGAUGGAUCCCAGCACAUCGGAUACAGAUGAAAAUGCCCAGAUUCCAGGACGCCCAUCUUGGACCUGGUGAAAGGCAAGAGACAAAUUGAAGGUUGUCUCGAUCUGAUAUGAGGCCCAUGCAACAUGAGUGAGAGCAGUUGGAAUCAAACAACAACAACGACGACGUAGUGAAGUACUGUCCUCCAAAGCUAAACCUCACACACUAUGACUUAGCUGUUUCAGUCUCCCAUAUCAGUAAAGGUACAUGACAUAUCAUCUUCCCUAUUUCCCUAUGUAUCUGUUUCGUCAUGAAUGAGAAUGCAGACGUACAGAUUACAAGGUGUGACUGAGAUACACUCCAAAAUCAUCUCUGUCCACCUGUCUGUGUCUCUUUCUCUCUCUGUCUGUGUGUGAGUCAUCUUAUCUUACAUCACAUCUCCCUGUUAAACACAGUGAUGCUUCUUAAUUGUAUUCUAAUUCUAUUAUACCUAAGGUUUCCAUAAGCUAUUAUCACGUUAUGACAGCUUGUAGGGAUUUAUGUUCUUUGAGUGCCAUCACUGGAGAAUGGAAGCUGGUCUGCUACACAUGCUGGCAUCAUAUUAUGGACUGUAGCGGCGGUAGCUCAGAGGUCAAGCAAGUCGUCUUUCAACUGGAAACAAUUGGGGGGUUCGAUUCCCCCGGCUCUGCUCGUCUGCAUGAUUUGGCAAAAACACUUGACCCCACGUUGCUCCUGACGACAGUGUGUGUGUGUGUUUCAAUGGGUAUGAAUGAUGUGCUGUGUGAGUGAAUGGGUGAUUGGCAAAGCAGCUUUGAGCGUUCAUCCAGACUA